rnacentral:lncRNA from 1 species
CUUUAUUUCAAUUGGAUUUACUUAAAGGCCACACUAUAUGUAAGGCAAAGAAGUCAUACCUGAUAUAAUUGAUAUGCCAAAUUAGGCUCUCUCCUGUCAUGUAGCCUCUUGCAUCCAAUUGAGUUAAAAUGUGUGCACCAGAUAACAACAUACAGUAGUAAUUACUAGUACAUGCUAGGCAAUAACUGCUUGUUCAAUGAAUUAAUGAAUGCAAUUUGACAAACCUGCUAAAUCCCUAAAAUCUACUACUACACUCCCACCCCUCUUUGAAACUUUGUCAUUCAUUAAGCUUAACAAAAUCUUGUCUGCCCUCCCUUGCUACAAGAUGUGUGUCAGAAUGUCUUCUUUCCUCUGAUUCUUCAUUCUUUUUUU